rnacentral:rRNA from 1 species
UACAGAGGUCUCAAGCGUUGUUCGGAUUCAUUGGGCGUAAAGGGUGUGUAGGUGGCGCGCUAAGUCGGGUGUGAAAUUUCGGAGCUUAACUCCGAAACUGCAUUCGAUACUGGCGUGCUUGAGGACUGGAGAGGAGACUGGAAUUCAUGGUGUAGCAGUGAAAUGCGUAGAGAUCAUGAGGAAGACCAGUGGCGAAGGCGGCUAUCUGGACGGUUUCUGACACUAAGACACGAAAGCGUGGGGAGCAAACAGG